AACUCGCCCCUAGAACGAGGAAAAUCGCCUCCAGAAGGCGUCGUCCCAUCGAGUGUCACCGGCGAUGCAAUGUUUUGUGUGAUGAACACGAAAAGCCUGUGACAAAUUAGCACGCCAAAACAUCCGAGAGCAGUAGCCUUUAGGGCAAAUAUUGGUGUGCUUUGGAGGGAAUUAAAGAUUCUAUGGCAAAUGCCAACGGAUGGGAGAGAGUUUUCAUUUUCAUUCAUGAUUUGGAGUACUUUUACAAGGACUAGAAGAUCAUAGUUUUGUUUGUUUUAAAUGAGUAAAUUUUUCUUUGGGAGCAAAUUAUGGCUAUGGUAUAAGGUGGAGUAAAGAAAGAGGAGAGCAUUGCUUGUGAGAUGUUCAUUUUCUUUAGCAUGAAGAAAACUAACCAGCACAGGUUUUUCAGAAUAUUGAAAGCUCUGGCACAAGUAAGACCUUAAACCAAUAUAUUUUAGAAUUUAAAUCCAGCUUAUUAUCCACUAAAAGGAUAUAAGAAACACACAAACGCAGAAUAUUAAUCACAAAUAUUGUGAUAAAACUUGCCCGAUAUGUAAUAUCAUGCAUAUGCUAUAAUUUUGGGCUUGUCAGUUUACAAACUUAGAGCGUUUAGUGCGUUUGUAAAAACGCAUAAAUAUCAGUCUUCUAAAGCAACUUAUUUUCAACGCAGCUAAUUUACCUUACAAACGCAGUAGUUGGGGCUCAAACACACCCACCGAAAUUGGUGUUGUGACUUUGGACUUUCAAACACACUAAAUGCUACCGCUGUAAACACGAGUGACCAAACAAUGCCUUUAUUAUACUUUCCAGGAUAAAAACAAGGACUUACUACAACUAUUUCUUUUGGGGAGAAGAAAGUACAUUUUAUGUGAAAAUAAAACCUUAAAACCAAAAUAGUCUAAUGUUAGAUGGAUUAUGUUCUCCUCUGCUUCACCUGAUUAAUUUCCACUCUUUUCUGCAUCAAGGAGUUUUUUUCUUGACCACACGAAAUGCAUAUGGAUCAAUCAAAGAGAUUCAUACACCUUAAAAGAUUGACAAAUUUAUGCUUAGUAACUGAAAGAUUUGCAUCAUUCUAAAGUCUCAACAUCACGAUAAAAGGGAAGAAUUUUAUGCAUCAAAAUUAACAAUGCCAAGAAUGAUCUUUAGAUUAAAACUAUGUUCACCAAUUUCCCAUUUUAUUACUCGAAAAAGGUAAACAAAAUGGAUCCGUCACGAAUGGGAUUGUCAACUGAAUUUUAAGCUAUUCAUCUUACUAAACUUCAGUAAUGCAUGUAUUUGUCAUCAACAGCAGAUCUGAGCGACAAGGAUAACCUGGUUAUAGUGUAAUCCGUUCACAGAGACGCCAGUAUGCUCC
rnacentral:lncRNA from 1 species